UGGACAGCAGGCAAUUCAAAACCAAAGUAAGCUGCUGAAUACAGCUACAAUAAACAAGGAAUCAGGCUAAGCUAUUGUCUUCAUCAUAAAAUGAUUUUGGCCCCCAUUUUCUAAUUUCGUACCACAUUUUCACAUUCUUUCCAUGAAUUUUAUAAUUCCUAUGCAACAGAGUUCAUUCAUUGCCUAUUCACAACAUUACAAGGUUCUACAGAGUUCAAUCCCACCGUGUUAUAGACAUGCUUCAACUAUCAACCGGGAACGUAAUCGUUAGGGGUUUCAACAACUUCAGAGAUACAACAAUUACGAUAAGUCUCAUCUCGGACAUUCAUACAGAAAAUUGAAUAAAAUUUGAAAUCAAGAAUCAAUCCCAAAAGUGAAAGUUGAAAAUUCGGGAAAAGAACUUACAUUGGCGAACAGCCCACGAGAAGAGGAUCAUUUCUACCUCUUGGGUCGAGCUCCAAUUCUGGCGAUAUUGGCCGGAAGUUGGCCGGAAAACCCUGGGUCACCGUUUCUUAAAUUUGAGGUUGAGGAAAGUCGCCUACGAAUCUAUAGAAACUAACUUGGGGAUUGGAUGAAGGACGGCAAGAGCAUUCUGGAUGUGUAGUUUGAGAGCCUUUGGUGAGCCGUGGACGACAGAGCUGUUGCGUCGGCACUCGGCAGUCGUCGGCUUGCUGUUUAAUGGGGCUCCUGUUGCAGCGCAAAAGAGGAUACGGGAGGAGGAGAGAAGAUGGGUUUCUCCCACUUUUUAGAUCUUAAUUUUUUUCCCUUUUUUUAAUUUUUUUCCCUUUUUAUAUAUCGUUUACACACUUGUGGAAAAACAUUCCGUCUGGAUUUCAGGGCUUCCAAAAUUUGAGAUAUUUGGCAAUGAGAGGAUGUUGUGGUCUAAAAUAUGUGUUCUCGCAUUUAAUUGCCCGAGAACUUUUGAAUCUUCAAGAGGUAAAGAUAUCAAAAUGUCCGGAUAUGAAAACUAUAGUCAGAAUUACAGAGGAAAAUGAAGAAGAGGCGAUAAAAUACAUGAUUUUGUUUCCGAAACUGAACACAUUUGAACUGGUAGACCUGCCUCGUCUCUCAAGUCUUUGUCCAGAGGGAUUUACAUUUCUAUGGUCAUCCGCAAAAAAUAUGCGCGUGGAAAACUGUGAAAAAUUGAAGACAUUGGGUGCCGUAAUUCCACAAAGAAAGAAGUUGGAGAAUAACAUGAAGAAGGAUUCAACAAGUCAUGAUUUCAGCACUUCCCCAACAAGUUCAUCAAAUUGGUGCCCCGCUGGAUGUGGAUGCGCACCAUAUUCAAGACCAAACGCCCACCGCUCCAUUGAAAUAUUGCCACGUCCAGUUAAUUUGGAGGUAAGCUUUUAAAUUAGGUUCAAUUAACCUUUAUAAGUACAACUUUUAAUUAGUAUUGUACUCAUCUUGUUGAUCGUGUUUAAUUUUCUAGGUUACACCAACUAAUCUUGAGGACUCAAAUGAUGAUGAUAAUCUUGAAAAUCUUACUGUAAGUGACUGUAAUUCAAUGGAAGUGAUUUUCCAACUAAAGGGACCGAAGAAUGAAGAAAGUAAUCACUCCAUUGAAGCAUUCAAUAAAUUGAGGUCCUUCCAGUUACAUAAGUUGCCAAGUUUAACGCGUGUUUGGGAGGUGGGUAGUUCACAACCAAUGUUCACAGGAAGCAGUUUUGGAAACUUGAAAUCGUUGCAGGUCGAUUGUUGCAACCAGUGUUCUAAAAAUCGGCCUAGGCGGCCGCCUAGGCGCUAGGCGGUGGGCAACCGCCGGGAUUAACGUAAAAUCGGAAGAAAAAUCGGGACAAGGAUUAGGCGGGUGUCGAGGUGGCCUGAGCGGCCCUUGGGCGGCCUAGGAGGGCAACUGGGUGGCCUAGGCGGUCUGAGAAUUUCAAUUUUUCUAUGUUCGAACUUGAGAAAGGAUGAAUGCUUCUGGUUUUUCUGGGCUUCUGGUGGUCUGUGUUCGCGAAGGAGGAAGAAGAUGAGAGAAUUAGUUUCUCUCUCUUCUUUCCAUACCCACGCACGUGAUGUAUUAAACUUUUUUUUUUAUUUUUUAUUUUUUAUUUUUUGUCCAUUAAAAUGUGGACAGCUAGCCUUGACUUUUCUUAAAGAAUAAAGGUUGUCAGGCUAUUAAUUUUUGUGUCAUCCAUCAAGUGCUAUGGAUUUUUUUUGUAGAUAGCGAUGGAGCACUCAUCUCUUCCUGGACAAAGGGCAGACUAGCUGCCAUCUAUAAAAAAAUUAAUAGCCUGACAAAAAAUUAAUUUUUUUCUCAUUAAAAAAACAUUGAUUGUCAGGUUAUCAAUUCAUAGCAUCAAGUGAUAUGGAUUUUUUGGACUUGUUAGAUAAGCAUUUUAUUAUUCUUUUACUAUCUUAUUCAGAGAUUUCAUAUAAGUAUAAUUUUUUGUAAGUAUCAGUAUACAUUUAUUUACAAGAUAUAUAAGAAAUUUACCUAAAUCCGCCUAGACCGCCUAGGCGCCCGCCUAGACCCCGCCUAACCGCCUAGGCGCUAGGCGCCAGUUCACCGCCCGACUAGCGCCUAGCGUUUUUUAGAACCUUGGUUGCAACCAGUUGAAAUACUUGUUUCUGUCCUCCAUAGUCAAACUUCUCGUGAGUAUAGAGGACAUAGAAGUUAAGAAGUGUGAGCAGAUGGAAGAAAUCGUUGCCGCAGAAGAAGAAACUGAUGAAACAAUUACAUUACCUAAAGUGAAGUCCAUCAAGCUUGCAAGUCUGCCAAAACUCAAGUAUUUUUGUGGUGAAGCUUAUACUUUGAAGUUGCCAUCUUUGGAGUUAUUGAGCGUUAUUAGUGUGCAAGACGUAGGGCCAUUUGAUCCUAAGCAUGUUGACACGCAUAAUCCCCGAUUGCAAGUAAAAACCGCAUUUCGACAGGAAUGGACGGGGACCUCAAUGCCACUCUAAGGAACAUUUAUGACACAAGGUAUGCUUUAAAUUAAUGUUUCUAAUUUGCAGUCACUUUUGUGUCCACCUGGAAGACCGCAUCAUCAAUAUACAACCACUGAACCAACAAAUAUUUUCUCCUAAACAAUUACAAUUACGUCAAUAUAAACUUUUAGAGACUACAGUAAUGCUUCAUGCUGUUUGUUCCAACUCUUUCGAUCCUUGAUGCAUGCGUGGGAUUUCUAAUGUUUUUACGAAGGACUGAAGAAUAGCUAGGUUGAUAAUUUGCAGUAUGUGAGCUAUAUAUGCUCAAUCUUACAUUUCUAUUUAUUCAACCAACAAAUACGUUCUGGUUUCGAGCUACAAGCAUAAUAUGGCUAACACCACCACAAUUUUGACUACAAAUUUAGGGAAAUCAAUAUCAACCGUUCAUAUUUAUAUGUGCAUAUGUUCACACUAAAGUGUAUUUAAGUAAUUUUAUUUUUUAAAACUCAAUUCUAUCUCAAGAAAACAUCUGUCUUUUAUUUCUAAAACAGGAAGGAUAACGAUGACGAAUUGUACAGUGAGGAUGAAAAUGAAGAUGACGAAUUCUCUGGGGAGGAUGAAGAUGACUAACAGAAUUGAUUGAUCAAACACAAAGGUUAGCAUGUUUCCAUCUCCAACUUCUUCUAGGUUUAGUAAAAACUGAUGAAAUUAUCUAUAAAGUACUCGAAAAAUUAUUCUUCCAUGUUUUAUAGUAUAUACAUAAAUGGAUAGUACUUUAAAAAUUGAACAAUAAGGAUUGUCGAACCACAUUCUGCUACCUAAUUCAUUUUUUCGAGGUACCCAAUGCAAGUCGAUCUAUAAUAUGCACUCUAAAAGUACUAACCUUGAGAAGCCAUUGAUAUGAACAAGAUUGAACCAUGAUCAGCAACGAACAAGCAAAGAUCUUCCUCUCUCUCUACACCCCUUAUGCACUCCUAUAUGGGGUGGUGUUUUGUGCUAGAAUAAUGUGUAUAAAAGUGGGAUCUAAGCCUUAUAUUUAUAGGUGAGAGUAUUAGGUUUCUUGCCCAUGAAGAAACCCCUAAUACAGAUCUUUAGCACCUCUAAAAUCCAUGACCUAAUAGGAUAGAUAUUCCCAAAAAUUAUUGCUAUACUUCACCAUAAAUAAUCCGGACUAAUCAGAUAUUACUUCCUUUCUUUUAUCCUUAAUUAAUUAGGACUCCUAAAUAGAUGUAAGCCCAAUAAAAGUCUUACACCCAAUAGCAGUUAAGAUGGAAGAAGCUUUUGAGAUUAGCAUCUGCCUCAAGAAACCUUUAUCAGAUUCCACAAUAAUAUUGGAAUAACCUUUUUCUCUUAGCAUGUCUCACCUGAUCUACAACAAGUAUAACCAUUUUGAGAAACACAUAUACAAUAAACAUAACCGUAGUGCUAAGUGACUUGAAAAUUAAUUUAGUCCUUAAACCGCUAUUUUCUGAAACACAAAUACAAUAAGCAUUACCAUUUCAACUUAUUCCAAUUUCAGUGUUUUCUAAUAUUCUCCAAUGCAUGCAGGACAAGCGUUUACAGAACGUUGUGGCUUCAGCAAUUCGUUUACUAUAUCAUAUGUACAAGUCAAUAAAAGGUCAUUUGUUGCACCAGAAUUUCAUUCCAAAAAUACUAUUUAUGUUGCUUAUUUGAUGUAUUAUAAAUUUCGAUUGUGAUUAUUACUGUUUGUUUCUAAAUUAGUGUUUGCUUAUUUGUUAUGGUAAUUUGGAAAAGUUGUCUCUAGCUACCAAUAUUUGCAUUUCAAUUUAUAAUGCUAAAAGUUCUGUAAUACCAUAGACGUGUAAGAUGAAUGACAUGUGUAAGCUAAAUAAUAUUAUGAUACACUAUAACAAUAUGAUCAUUCACUAUAAGGUCUGAUAUUAAUUCAUAAAAUCUGGUUUUCCCCUAAACGUAACGGAAAUCAUAUUUAUCUAGGCAUGCUUAAUAUUUGAUAAAGAAAAAAACAUUUCUUAAAUAAAUGUCCACUCACACCUCCGGCUAGCUCUCCCUUGAGGAGCCUUGUCUACCAAAUAGGUAAGUUCAAGCAACUUCAAGAGAGAAUUUCCUCCACGUUAAGUCUUAAACAUCCACUGGACAGCAGGCAAUUCAAAACCAAAGUAAGCUGCUGAAUACAACUACAAUAAACAAGGAAUUAGGCUAAGUUAUUGUCUUCAUCAUGACAUGAUUUGGCCCCCAUUUUCUAAUUCCGUACCACAUUUUCACAUUAUUUCCAUAAAAUAAUUUUAUAAUUCCUAUGCAAAAGAGUUCAUUCAUUGCCUAUUUCACAACAAUACAAGGUUCUACAGAGUUCAAUCCCACACCAUGUUAUAGAAAUGCUUCAACUAUCAACCAGGACGGUAAUCGUUAGGGGCUUCAACAACUUCACAGAUACAACAAUUACGAUAAGUCUCAUCUCCGACAUUCAUACAGAAAAUCGAAUAAAAUUCGAAAUCAAGAAUCAAUCCCAAAACUGAAAGUUGAAAAUUUGGAAAAAGAACUUACAUUGGAGAACAGCCCACGAGAAGAGGAUCAUUUCUACCUCUUGGGUCGAGGUCCAAUUCCUGCGAUAUUGGCCGGAAGUUGGCCGGAAAACCCUGGGUCACCGUUUCUUAAAUUAGAAAUUGAGGAAAAUCGCCUACGAAUUUAUAGAAACUAACAGGGAUUGGAUAAAGGACGGCAAGAGCAUUCUGGAUGUGUAGUUUGACAGGCGUUAGUGACCUGUGAACGACGGAGACGUUGUGUCGGCAGUCGUCGGCUCGCUAGGAGAAGAGGGAGAGAGGAUGCAGGAGGGAGGAGAGACAAAAAGAAAAGGAAAAGAAACAAAGAAAUUUAAAAUAGAAAUGAAAAAGAAAGGUAACCGGACUGCAAAGGUAAUCAGCAUACAAAAUUAUCAUACUAUCCUUAAACUUUGUAGCUAUGUGAAAUCUUCAUUUUAAUUCUAAAUUUUCUUAUGCUUGCGCUCACAGGUUCUUAUUAGAGCAGUUCCACCGGAGGUGGAAUAGCCCAGUACCCAGUCAAAAAAUCAGGUUAGCACCCUGUUAAUUCACUCCAGCCCGUGAAAUCGACUAGCACCCAGCCUAAGCCAGUCUACGGGCCGGCCUAAAAUCGACAGACCUUGGGACCGACCUAUCUGACGUCAGCGUGGCGUCGGAGGGCAUAUGACGUCAGAGAAGGAGUUGUUGUGGAGGCUGAGGAGCAGAGCUGGUUGAGGCGGGAGAGGAUGUCGAGAGGGAAGGAACCAUGGAGGGAGAACGACGGAAGGACAAAGCGACAGCGUCGGAGGUGUGGAGAUGCAGGAGGACGAAUCGACGGUGUUGAAGGACAGGAGGUGUGGAGACGCUGUAGAGGAGCUAGUUGUUGAGAUGUGGAGAUGCAGGAGGUGAGGAGAUGCAGGAGAUGUAGGAAGUGCAGGGGUGGAUGGCGUGCAGAAAUGGAAGGGAAAGGAGGUGUGGAAGAUGAGAAAAUAAUAAUAAUUUUUUUUUAUAAAGUUAGAAAUUAAAAAUAAAAAUAUUAUUUUUUAUUAUUUUAUAAUAAAAAAUAAUAAUUUUUUAAUAAAAUUGACUAGGCUAUUUUUUUUAGGGAUAGAGAUGCAUUGGCCUAUUGCUGUUCAUUAUGGUUUAUCACUGUUCACUUGAGUGGAUAAAUGCACUGGAUGCUGGCGUAAAGUCUUUAGGGGUGGACUUGCUCUUAUGCGCACUACGAAAAGAUAUUAUGUGAGUUUUCGUUGAGAAUUUUUUUGAUGGAGGCAUCCAUGAUUUGCAAGGCCCACCAUGGCAAAGCUAGGUAUCGGCCUGACAUGUGAAGACACCAUCGCGGAGAAGAAUCUGGAAAGUUCAAUCCUUGUAUUUUUCUUAUAUAAUGGUGUCGUUUUAGUGAACUGAAUGUUUCGAUUCCAACAUCUAAAAUACUACAAUUGGAAUUUUUACAUACUACAAUUGGAUUGUAUCUUAAAAUUCUGAAGUUUUGGAUUGAAUUACCACUACCAAAAAUGUGAGCAUUGGUCACAAUCAUGCUGCUUUGUGUUGGAUUUCGUUAGAGAUCAUAAUUAAUCAAUCACCCAUAUUGUGUCUCCCUCCAAAAGCUCAAACUGAAACCUAAACUCCCUCGUCGACCAAAAAAAAAAAAACAAUCCUUGAACUCCCUAGCAAAUCAGAGCCCAAUUUGACAACCAAGAUCUUCAUCGUUCGAGCAUCAAUGUUCUCUUAAAUUUGCUGCGAGCAACCUACCAUGAAAUCUCCUUCAUGGACAUCUCAUAAAAUUAGAAUGGUACAAAGAAGAGUAGUGUCACUCCUAAGCUAGGAUUACACGUUUGAAUCGCAAAAUAGUUCCUCCUCCACUCUUUGAUUCUCUCUUUCACCGGCUAACAAUAUUUUACAUUACCAUCUUUUGCUCUAUUUGACUGAAGGACAAAUUUUGAUUGUCUAAAUAUUAUAUUAAACUACAAAUAAUAUUGAUAUUACUUUAGUCUAAAGAAGGCUUUUCAAUUGCAUUGUACCAAUGAAUAGUGUUUUGAACCACAUUUCAGUUUAUUUACAAGACUGCCACUGGGACGCUUUUAGCCAACUUUUGCUUUAUUUACAAAAAUGCCACUCAGGCUUAAGACUCGAUUUUCAGCCGCUGCAUCUCAGGUUUUUACUAGGGGAAAGAGAGGGGAGGGGGACAGAACGAGCAGAGAGAGAGAGCCUGCGGCUUGCAGAAUUACGAUGAUAGAAGAAGAAGCUCAAAAGUUUGAUACGCCAAGUCGAAGGAACCCUAAAAACCAGAGAAGAAGAAGAAGCUCAGAAAUCGGGUGAGGAUGUUGACAAAUCAGCAAGCCCAGUUUUAGGCGACUCUGCAAAACCAACAACCUAACCUCCGACGAACGAUGUUAGAGGGGAUUCGUCAGAUUCGAGUCGAACCGAGGCCGUCGUCGACUAAGAGAACAUUAUCGAUCCCGACUUUUGGAUCGACUCCCUUUACCUGCUCCCUGUCUGUUACUCCUGCUCCGUCUCUCUUCUUGCAAGUUCGCUCGGGUUCUUCUCCCCAGUUAUUUCAAGCACAAAAAAUUCUCCAGUUUCAUUCGUCAGCUCAUACAUACGUAAGCUCUUCGCCUCUUAAUAUUUUGAUUUAGGUUAAUUGUUAAAUUCUUGAAAAAAAUUGAAAGCAUUGUUCAUUUUUGUCCCAAAUUGGUUUGGUUCUGGUUUGGAAACAGAAAUUAAAACAUAUACUCCUUCAUCUACGAUUCACUUAUUCCAUUCCAGAUAUUUCUCCAUUUCUCUCUUAAUUUCUUACUUUUUGAUUCAAGCGUUUAAUUUUUUAUUAAUUAAAUUACAAAUAAGUAUUAUUGACUUUCAUUUGGUACCAAUCAAUCAAGUGAGAGAUGAGUUGUUUGAAUGUUUGAUUUUACUUGAAUCAGAGUCUCCAAGGAGGAGAAAGAGAAGGAUCCGAAUGAUUUAGGGUUUAGGUCUUAGCGUGUGAGCAGGCGUAUUGAUGACUGUAAUCAAGGUAUCACUUAAGCUCUAAUUGUGACUAGUAAAUUUUGAAUGACUGCUGGUUACUGUUAAAACCCCAAAUGUAUGCAAUCCCACGUUCCAAUUUGUUGUGUGAAGAUGCGGACCACAAUUGCUUCCUCUCAGCACAAUUAGUUUCCACGAUUACUCUUAAACCCUAAUUGUCUCUCCUCUAUCUAAAAUCCAUUUUUCGAUUUUUGAAUACGGUAAAUGGAUAUUGUUUCUAUGUGCAGGUGUUACUCGGAGAAGUUUGAAAGGCCCUGGGACAAUGAGGAUUGCAUUUCAGAGUAGCAGAAAUACAAGGCCACCCUCUCUUUGUGUAUCCAAUCUUACCCUUCUCCUAAAUUUUUAUCAAACUAUAGGAUUUAUUUUGCUGAUUUUAUUUUUUGCGAUUUGAGUUUUUAUCUCCUGCUUAUUUUUUAUUUUUUUGCCGAGGUAUUACUUUUCCUUUGACUAGAAAUUUUAGUGUUUUUAAAGUAUAAUGUUAUCAAAUUCUAAUUUUCUAAUUUUCUGAUUUUGGCCUUUUGCAGGGAGUGCUAAGAUACUAAAUUUUUGGGAUUUUUUAUCUUUGCAUGAUUUUUGGUCUUUGAAAUGGGUAUGUGCUGUUUUUAACGUUUUGGUUCUCAAAUGUUUCGUUCUUGAUUUCUGUUUUCUGCCUCCUUCUAGGUUGCUUCGUGAUUUUCAUUUUCCAUUGUUGGCUUAUGGAAUUUAUAAAAAUGGUUGUAGUUUUGUGACCAAAUCCCAAUAAGAGUAUGCCGAAACACAGAUUAGCAUGUAGUGAACAUACGUUGAAUUAGAACAAAAUUUAAUAUAUAAGUGAAGGCAUGUGCAGUGAACAGACAUUGAAUUUAAAAUUGAUAGGGUAGUUAAGCUUCUGCCUUAGUUAUUCUUUGUCACUCACUUUUGGAAUUUAAUUCAUUCAUUUCAAAGUCACUCAUGUACUCUGUCUUACUUUAUUCACUCAUGUUUAGUAUGCACCAUUGAAUUUUUUUGUCAUAUAUUAUUCACUCAUCUACUACACUAAUGUUGAGAUUUGGGUAUCAUUUGUUUUCUCAUAUGUCAUGUUUUUAAGCCAAAUCUAAUAUAUAAAUGGAUCCAAAAACUCCUGAUGUAGCACAUUUAAUUUGUUCAAAUAUUGAUUCUUUUCCCUCUAUUCACUUCAGUUGUCGUGUUCUUCUUCGUUCUUUUUUCAACGGCAAAGCUGGACGAUCCAUGGAGCACAUGUUGUUGAGCCUUUUGCCACUACUGGUCUGGUCCAAUUCGAAGGAGUUGUUGGAGUACAAUCUUUAGGCCCUUUGGAGGAGCUGAAAAACCAGUCUCGACUCUGCUGACCUAGACAUAUUCCGAGAUAUGCUCCAGCUCCAUAACGAAUCGGACAUCAGCCCGGUUCACUACUCUCACUCUUUCCUGCUUUCAUUCUCAAUUUUUUUUUGGAAUUUUGCGCUGAAUUUCAUUUGGGUAAUUUGUGAAGUUUUGUUUUUUUUUCUUCUUUUGUUAGGCAGCUUUUGGUGUGCCUGCGAAUGUUGAUUCGGCGAUGCGUUUACAAUAACGUCAAGAGGGAAAAGAUUCAAAAGAUGUUCCCAGUGUAGCUAUUUUAUAAUUGAUGAGGCUGUUGGUGCUUUUGAUGCGGAAGUUUCAGCGAGAAUGACGGCGAGAUGCACACAAGGAUCAGGUUAGAGAUCUGUGUUGUUUGACAUUUCUGUGUAAACAUUUUUGAGUAUCAAAUAUAUCUCAAAUUUAGGGUGUCGGUUAUGGGCUACUAAAGCGGAAAGUUCUUUUGGCUCAUACAUUAAAGCGGCAUGUGCUUUUGGCUCAUACAUUUAAUUUGUUCAAAUAUUGAUUCUUUUCCCUCUAUUCACUUCAGUUGUCGUGUUCUUCUUCGUUCUUUUUUCAACGGCAAAGCUGGACGAUCCAUGGAGCACAUGUUGUUGAGCCUUUUGCCACUACUGGUCUGGUCCAAUUCGAAGGAGUUGUUGGAGUACAAUCUUUAGGCCCUUUGGAGGAGCUGAAAAACCAGUCUCGACUCUGCUGACCUAGACAUAUUCCGAGAUAUGCUCCAGCUCCAUAACGAAUCGGACAUCAGCCCGGUUCACUACUCUCACUCUUUCCUGCUUUCAUUCUCAAUUUUUUUUUGGAAUUUUGCGCUGAAUUUCAUUUGGGUAAUUUGUGAAGUUUUGUUUUUUUUUUCUUCUUUUGUUAGGCAGCUUUUGGUGUGCCUGCGAAUGUUGAUUCGGCGAUGCGUUUACAAUAACGUCAAGAGGGAAAAGAUUCAAAAGAUGUUCCCAGUGUAGCUAUUUUAUAAUUGAUGAGGCUGUUGGUGCUUUUGAUGCGGAAGUUUCAGCGAGAAUGACGGCGAGAUGCACACAAGGAUCAGGUUAGAGAUCUGUGUUGUUUGACAUUUCUGUGUAAACAUUUUUGAGUAUCAAAUAUAUCUCAAAUUUAGGGUGUCGGUUAUGGGCUACUAAAGCGGAAAGUUCUUUUGGCUCAUACAUUAAAGCGGCAUGUGCUUUUGGCUCAUUUCUUUACAAAAGUUGAAUAUUUGAAUCUGCUUAUUUAUGUUUUGAAAUGAGUGUGUUUGUUAUUCAUGUUUUGGGAAUGUUAAAUCUUUUUAAUUUUUUCGUUCCAGGACGAAAAUAUUUAACGAAAUGAAUUCUGACUAUAAAGUUAAUUGAAGCUCUGAAAAAUUUUGUGGUCGAAAAGGAUGACAGAUUACUAUAGUUUUUUUUCCUUCCUAUCCAAAAACUACCUUUGAUUUUCUUGAUUGUGCGUAUAUUUAAUAUUUGCUAUUAUAAUCGUUCCCAGUAUAAUAGCAGAACCUACUAGACGAGCAGGACCAAGUACCCGACCCUCUACAACAAAAUCAGCCUGCUCAGAAACCCUAGCUUGAAUGCGGUUCCAGAGCUCGACGACUGGGUCUACAAUGGCAACAAAGUCCGAGUCACCGAGCUUCAGCGCAUCAUUCACGACCUCCGAAAGUGGAAACGCUUCUCCCAAGCCCUCCAGGUUUCCAUCUUUCUUUCUUACCUUGCAAUUUGUGUUAUCCCCUGUUUGGUUGCUCAGAAAAUGAAAGAAAAUUGAAAGAAGAAUCAAAGUAAUUAAAUUUUAGUUAAAGAAAGUGAGUGAAUGAGGGAAUUAGGAUUUUUGUUAGUUUAUGUGUUUGUUUGUAUCAUAAGUAAUCGGAAUUUCCUCUGCUUUCAUAAUAAUGUGUUUUAGGUUGCAGAUUUCAGAAUGGAUGAAUCAGAAGGGGAUAUGCAUAUUUUCGCCGGUUGAGCAUGUCGUGCAACUGGAUUUGAUUGGGAAGGUAGAAUUUUGCACGAAUUGCUGUCAAAUAAAGCCAGUUUGAGCCUAUGGGUCGAAUCCUAUUGGACAUUGUUGCAUCAUGGAGCAUGUGAUUGUUGGGAAGUUUAAGCUGGGGAGGAAGAUUGGGAGUGGGUCUUUCAAAGAACUCUAUUUAGGUAUGGUAAUCAGUGCUUGAUAUCCUUUUUUCCUUAGAAAAUUAUUCAUUGUGUUAAUUUAAUGUGUUUUGUAAUGAAAUUGCUCUUCUGGUGUUAGGUGUAAAUGUACAUGGUGGGGAGGAGGUUGCUGUUAAGCUGGUAUGUGAUCGAUCGUCAAAUCUUAUAUUUAGUUCUGAUGUUUGGUUUAUGGCUAAAUGUUUGCAAGCAUUGUAUAGUUUUGUGCCUGAUUGUAAAUGGGCGGCUUCAUUAAUGUACUAGGGUAUGUUGAGUGUGAGCUUCUGGUAAUUCAUUAUGAUUUCAUGUGUGCUUCCAUAUAUAUUGAAAUUGUCCAGUUUGCUCAUGGAUGUUUCUGUAUGAUUUUGCAUGUCUCCCUUGAUAAAAGCUUGAGCAAAAUAUGCUUAUGAAAUCGAUAUGUGGUUUAGCUUUAUAAUUGUGCCUGCAUCUGUACUGCUUAUUUGCUACCCAUCUAAACAUAUAACUUUAUAUGAGAUAGCCCCCCAUUUGAAAAUGAGUGUUUUUAUGCGAUGUUUAUAUUUGUAGGCACUGGAAUUAGUGUCUUUUGUUUUUAUUUUGAUCUCAGUUACUCAAAACUGAAUUUUUUGUUGGUGUGAAUAUAUAUGUCAACAUUUAAUAUCAGCAUUUGGAGUGAAUCAAAUUCAUUUUAAAUUUUCUUAAAUUUAUUGAUUAUCAGAUGACAUAGUUAACAACUUCUGUGAUUUUAAAACACUUGGAGGUGAGAUUUACAUAAUUAAAUAGUCAAUUGAAAAAUUGAAAUGAGAUGUUAGUUUUACCUGACUGAUUUCUUUGUUGGGUUUAUUACUGCUCAAUGUUAAAACCCAAAAAUGGUUUUUUGGGCAAGUGGUGAUUGGCCCGCCUGUGUCAGGAAAGACCACUUACUGCAAUGGCAUGUCUGAGUAUAUCUAGCUCAUCCGAAGGUAAAAAAUUUCACUCUGAAUUCUGGGUUUUCAAGUUUUUCCAUGGCUUCAAUUUUGGUUUUUGAAUACAUCUGAAAUAUUUACAGUGGCAAUUUGUUGUUUUGGUGUGCAGGAAAGUUUUUGUGGUAAAUUUGGAUCAUGCAGCCGAUGCAUUGCCGUAUCCUUUUCGGGGUUUUAUUUUUUUCAUGUUUAUUGUUCGUAAUUUGUAGUGUUGCACUGCAUUCCAAUGUCGAAUAUUGAGGGUAAUAAAGUAGAGCUACUGGUUCAUCUUUCAUUUGAUCUUCUACUAAUUUCGAUUGAAUUCCACAAAUUUUUUUUAUUUGCUUAGUUUAAUUUGUUGUUGUUCAAUUGUUAUGAAGAUCUGUGAAUGUGUAUGAAUUAUUGGUUCUGAUUUUUGUUGAACAAUGUGAAGUUGCUUGGUGUUUUAAGUUCUUGAUCCAAAGAAAGUUGCGUUAUUUCGUAAUGACAUUGCCGUUUGUAGUGGUUGUUUGGAUUACUGUGUCAUUUUAUUUAUGCAACACUUAUAUGAUACCUUUCUUAUUGGCUGUAUGUAAAUCAUCAAUAUCUUAUGGAUUAAUAUGCUUACCAUUUCGUAUACAUAUGUUUUUUAUUCAUGUUAAAACUUUUUGUAUUAUUUUUGUGUUUGUCAUUGGCAGGUGAAUUUGUAAACAUUCAUAGUUAUCCAUAGGACCUUGAGGGAGUAUGCAAUUAGUAUUCAUAUAGAUGGUUAUUUGUGUUAACGAUGAAAGCAUAUGGUUUAGGUUUGUCCUCAAAAUUUAUGCUUAGUUGUAAUAAUGCUUUUGCUUAGUUGUUCAUGUAAAAAUGGAACAAUUUUUUUUUGUACAUAUGUCAUUUUAUAUUCGUUUAAUGUUUGAACUUAUGCUUAUGAACUUGGUUAUUGGUAGGGCUCUUCUAGAGGCAGUGUUGGCGUGUAGAUGAUGUGGAAGUAGGCGAUGAGGAGGAAAUGACAAAGGUGGAGGACCAAAAGGUCUUAUAGAAGAAGAAGAAGCUCAGAAGUCUGAUACACCAAACAACUCCAUCUGAAAGAGGAAGAAUCCAAGGGUAAACCCCUUCAAACUCUUCGAUUAUGGUGUUCUUUAGUCGAUUGCAAGACUAGAACUUGAAAAACUAACACAUGCAUAUAAUUUUUUUAUGAAGGAACUGCAGUCCAGUGGUUGUAUAAAACAAAAGGACAACGCAUGCUCUCUCUCUCAUAGUAGCUCUGUGUUCCUCUCCCCCCAAACCUAAUGGCUUCAUCCCAAUUCGGAGCCUGCUCGAAUCGGGACUUCUUGGAGAUUCGGAUCUCCAGGUGAGAUAAUUUUCCCCAAAUUGUAUUCAAUCUAUGUUGCUUCAUUUCAUUUUCCAUUUUAAUUUGGAAUUGUUGAUAUUUUAGGCGGGUAUUGCAUGUAUAACCACAACAAUUUUUGUGUUGGAUUGGGGUCAAAUUGUCCAGCUUUAUUAGCUAUUUGGUCGCCUUUGUAUUUGUAAUCUGAAUAAUAUGAAUUAGGGUUUUUCUGUUAGUGUCCAAUUGGUCAAGAAAGGAUGCUUCUUUUUUGUUAUCAUGCAUAUUUAAGCUGUAAACAUCUGAAAAACUGCUUAAUUGAAGUGAUAUUUCCAGUUUUUUAGCUCAGUUUCAGGUUUUGACCUUUGAAUUUGUUUACAUGUAUCCCAGCUGAAGCUAUGUACAUCGUAGUUUAAGGGGAUUUUGCUCAAAAUCUGGAGAGCUCUCUCGCUUUGCUCUCUAUGUAAACCCGAGAGAAAUUCCAUGGAAACAUCACGCCUGCAAACGAAGUUGCAGGCCUACACACAAGCAAACUCCAUCUGAAAGCCAAAGAAUCCAAAGGUAAAUCUCUUCAGCUUUCUUAGCUAUUUGGUCCUGUGUAUUUGUAAUCCGAAUAAUAUGAAUUAGGGUUUUUCUGUUAGUGUCCAAUUAGUGAAGAAAUGAUGCUUCUUUUUGUUAUCAUGCAUAUUUAAGCUGUAAACAUCUGAAAAAGCUGCUUAAUUGAAGUGAGAUUUCCAGUUUUUGAGCUCAAUUUCAUUUCUUAUAGACAAUUUUUUUUCAAGAUUUCUGGGUUUCUUUUUGCUGCUUCUUUGUUAAAUUACUCAUCUGGAAGUUAAAUUUUGUUCAAAUACCAAGUAUUGUUCUUCAAUUAAAGAUUUAUGGGUUUUUUUAUUGCUUCUUUUCUGUUAAAUUACUCAUCUAGAAGUUAAUUUUGUUCAAAAACUUACUGUUCUUCAAUUAAUCUUACAAGAAAGCAUAUGAGAAUGUGGCACAUUAGGUGUUCGAUGAAAUGUGUCUGAGAAUCUGUCAGUAUGAUAUAUUAUAAUUCUGAAUCUCCUCUUCAGCUCUGGCCACAGGUGCGCGAAGGCGACAUGAUCCUGGUCGACAGUUCGGAGCUCUGGCGAUUCUGACUAAGAAAGAGGUCAAUAACAACAAGGUAAUGGAAUUCAAUGUUUUGUGUUUGUUAUAGAGGCAUAUUUGCAACAGUAUAUCAGAUAAUAAUUCUAGAUAGUAUGUCCAGAUGGCAUAGAUUGUGUUUCAUGAUGCAUAUGGCUGAAGCGGUUUUGGCUACUUUUUUUAUUGCUCAUUAAAUUUUUUGCUGCCUUUGGCUGGUACAAAUAUAUAUAAGAAGUACUAUCCUUUUAUCAACUUUUACCAAGUCAAAUUUAGGAUCCAUUUGUACUCAUGCGCCAUUGGGGUAAAGUGCAUGUGCUUUUUUUUUCUGUUGUAUAUUUUCAUCUAGGGGAUAACGUUUUGUUGUUUGUUGGAAGGAAUAUUAAAACACAUCCACACCCUAUUUUGUCAUUGUUCUAAAGUAUCUCAUGCUGGUUUUAGAAUUCUCCCGACUUUCUAACUCAAAUAUGUGCCAAGAGAACCCAACUAAAGUGGUUCGCCGCUCCAUGUAUGAAGUAUUAGUGAAUUAUUUGUAAUUUUACAUAACCAAAAGAAAAUUUUUGCGUUGUAUGCAUACAUAUUGAAAUUUAUGUUAUAAAUUUUUUGAAAAGAAACAGAUGUAAAUUAGAAUCAUACUAAUAUAGGUAUGCUGUAUACAUAACUUUGAUAAUACCAUAAGUUCAGAAUUAAUCUUUAGUGUCAUUAAAAAAUUUAUGUAAAUUUAUAUACAUAAAUUUGAUAGCACCAUAAACUUGGGGUAUUGUUAUAUUUAGUACAGGCAAUAUGAUGCCGUUCAGGUGUUUUUAACUAAUAUCUGCAGUUUUUCAAUUCAUCUGGGGUAUUUGUGAUUUGAACGACACUAAAAAAUUUUAUGGGUUAUAGGAACUGCAGGUUAAAAAAAUGGGUCAAAUUCAGAGCUGCAUUCGUCUUCCCUCAAAAUAAGAAGAAAAUGCUUCCUCAACUACAUAUUUUGCAACCUCAGGUAUAUUUGUGUUCUAAAGGCUUUUACUUCCUCCGGUUUCUUCAGAGCUAUUAUUUUACCCAUAUAUGAUUUGUAAAGUGGAAGAUUGGAUUUCAUAUGUCUGAGUAUUUAGGGUUUUGCACAAUGCAAACUUGAGCUUUUGAUCCAAAUGGCUAGAACAGUGUACUCGACCAAUUUCAUAUCCUCUUGGGCUAAUGAGAGUAUAUUACUUGCCACUGGGGAAUUCACUUCAUAUAAGCCAUAGAGAGAGAGAGAGAGAGAGAGAGUCACAUUUUUGUUUUUUUUUUUUUGGAUUUGGUAACUGAAAUUUUAUAUGUGUGAACUACAUGUUUCUUCUGUUUCUUAAGGAAACAGAAAUUUUUUGGAAACCAUCUCUUUCUAAUCAAAGACAUUGUGCAAUGUGUUUAUAUGCCAACUCACUUGAAUGUAUAUAAAAGCAAAACAGCUUCACUUAUUGACCUCAAUUCACUCAUGUAUCCCUCUGUUUGUUCACGAUUGUGUUGAAUUUAUUCAAUUUAAAUAUAUUUUAUUCAUUUGAUUAUACCUGAAACAACAGGUUCCCGCAACAACGUGCGGGCAUAUUUUCUCGUUAUAUAUAUUACAAUGUGACUGGAAUUGUAGUACCCAACAUUUUGUUGUCCAUGAAGUGGCCAACUCGCCCUCUCUGAUAUUCUUUAGUCCGGUCCAUUUUGAGUUUAACCAAACUCAUUCUUUUAUAAGCAAUGUAUUGUGGGCAUCGUUGGAGCACGAGACAUUAUUUUAUAAUUCCUCUUUGGUUGAGCUAUUAAUGUCAUUGUUUAACAAUUUAGUGAUAUUUAUCUUUACUUGUAGAUGAGAGGUUUCAGGUUCGAAUCUCGGGAGUGAUGAUUUGUUGUAAAUAUACCAUAAAAGAAGAAGAAAAAAAAAAGCAAAUCAUCAUUUACCACAGUAGUAGAAAGGUGUUGAGCCCUUGUAUAUGAUGGCGUGAGUUUGAACGUAGUUGGUAACUAAUCUAACAUGUAAUCUAACAAAAUUUAUCAUUUGAUAAAAAAAAAUAUAAUACAAAAACACGAAAAUGCCCUUAAAGUCCAAAGUGCCCCCCUCUGCCCUGCCGCUUCCUGCAAGUUCUUUCCUCGCCCCUAUUUCCCUCACUUUCUCCCUAUCAGACGUUCGAAGACUCAAAACUGUUUUUAACUCUCUCCCUCUCUCUCACUCUCUCCUUCUCACUCUUAAAUGUCGCCCUUUCUCACUCAUACGCACGCUCAAUGAUCUCUGAAGCACCAAUUGCUCUUCGCUUUGGCUCUCUGCAUCUCACCAGAGGUAAAAUGCCCCAAAUUUAUUUAUUUAUUUUUUUACUUUUUCCUCUAAAUUUAAUUCAAUGAAUUUUUUGUGUACCCUUGCAGUAAUACAGGAAGAUUUUUGUAGUAUUUCUACUUGCUGGAUGAUACUGAAAUAAUUAUUGGGAGUUUGAAGAAUUUCUGGUUUGUAUGAUAUAUUUGCUAAAAGACCCAAAAUUUUGAAGCAGAGCGGCGGUAUUUGAUAAGAAAAUCAUCUGAUGAGUCAAUGGAGUCGUCAUCGCCUCCAAAGGAGAACGAAAAAAGCUCGAAACAAGCUUGCGUAGAAAUCAACUUGGAAGAUCUUGCUGUUGAUCCCGGGCUGCGCACUCGAAUUUGGGAUUAGCAUCCCAGUUCAAGUUCGAGAGUAAGUUCGAAGAGCAUAUAUACAAAAGGGUCCUUUUCAGAGUCGAGACCAUGACUUCCCCAGCAAGAAUACUAGUGAGGGACCGAGAAAGUUUAUAUCUGCUUGGUUUAUGAUUUUCCGACUUGGUUGGUAUUGUCUAUGUUGUUAUCUGUUUAAGCUAAAUACAGGAGAGCAAGCCGGCGGUGAUUGCUUGGUUAGUAAAGGGUUUUCGAAUUGGAAGAAGGAAAGGUUGCAGGGUCAUGUUGGAGGACGGAAUAGCGGCCUCAACCAAGCUUGGAGAACCUGUGAUGCUUUAUUAAAGCAACACCAAGCAUGAAUAUGAAGGUUCAAACAACGAAGGAGUUUUUCUUGGACUCUGGAACUUCCACUGUGGUCGUCAUGAGGAGUUAAAAGUUAUCACAUUGAGAAAUUCUCCCUUAAGUCUGAAGUUGACUUCACCUGAUACUCAGAAGGACAUCAUAACUACUUUUUCAGUGAAAUUAUCAAUGCAAUCGUUAAAGAUAUUGGUAGUUCGUACUUUUCCAUUCUUAUCGAUGAGCUUCAUGACAUGUCUUCAAUGAAGCAAUUGGCUAUUGUAAUACGUUUUGUGGAUAAAGGUCAACUGAUCGAGCCUUUUUUUUAUGUGUUGUACAAGCCACUGAUAAUACUGCUGACUCACUUAAGGUGGCUAUUGAUGAUUUCUUUUCUACCCAUGGAUUAAGCAUGUCAAAGCUAGGGGCAAGGUUAUGGUGGGACUAGUAAUAUGAUUGGUGAGUUGAAUAGUAUUAAGACACUUAUAAUGAAGGAGAAUGAGUGCAUUUUACGUUCGUUACUUUGCUCACGGCAGCGAGAGACACGAAAUGCCCACGCCCUCACGAAAGUACUGUCGGCGUUCUCCAACAAGGACGUAGUCGUCUUGCUUGAGGACGAGCGAGUGCUCCAGAUAACUGUUCGCCAUCCGAACCACCCACAAGAAAGGCUGCUUGCUGUUGGCCAGACCCCAUGCCAUUGCAGCUAGUUUUUUACUGUCCAUGAAUGCUGUGCUUCCUAGGCUUACAUAGAUGACAGAGUUGUGUGCUUGUUUAACGAGCCAUGACGUACAACUCUGGUCCUCUUUCAACAAGCUUGUAGACGGGGAUGGAACAGUUUUGUGCAGAGGACCGGUAGGAAAUAACGGAAUUUGGUACUCUUUUUGAAGCCGUGCCAGCGAUGAUUGUUCAAGGCCGUCCCGGUGUUCCAAAUGACGGCUGAAGAUGACCUUUGAAUCGUGUGCUUUCACUAGUAGUUGCAGUAAGCCGUCCAAAACUCUGCCAUCUUAAUGGUUGGAGUCCUGGUGCCAGUUCCAGCAUUAUAGAAUCUGUACACAGAAUGGUCAAGCAUCAGAGAUCUUAAGGUUAGUGCAGACAGUUGCAAAAGUUAUAAAAAUCAUAGAGUCAUCGAGUCUUUUUCCCUUAAAAAGGUUAAAAUCAAUCAAUUAAUUGAUCAAUUUGAUGCAUUUACAUCUCAUAGUUAUUGUGUCAAGACGGAAUUCGAAAAAUUUGAGAUGUCUGAUUGUUACCUUGAAUUGAAAAGUAACCAUCUUAUAGGAAUUACUUGGUAAGUCAUCGUGUUUGCUGCACUGCUAGUAGUCAAUAUAAUGCUAGGCAACCCUAGAUGAUUAGCCACCUCUACUGUACUCAUCAUAGAUGAUGCAUGAAAUCUUGGAGUGGGGACUUGCAGUUAGACAUUAAAGCCUAAUAUUGCAGCAAUAAAAUUGUGGGACGAGAUAUUUUUCUCUCAUAAGCCAUCGGAUAUCUCUAAGAAAUCGAAAUCAGGGUAGUUCGAAGGAAAGUUGAAGUUGGUGUGAGGGACUGUGAUGUAGAAGCCCUCGGAGUGAAAGAUAGCGCCCAGUUGAAGUAUUGGAGUUAUGUUCCCUUGGAAUGGGCAUGGAGCCAGCACUAAUCUGUGGCUUGUACGUUGUGUUUCCAUUGCCCUUAAGAUUUGUGUAGCUAAAAGGAGUACUUCACAUGGUGGACAUUAUGAAGGCUUAUGAUAUUCUGGAUUGGGAAUUUCUUUUAGACACUCUUUCAGAUUUCCAACUUCUAUGAUUAAUUGAAUUUGUUGUUGUGUGAAUAGUACUAAGUUUUUAGUUUCAGUUAACGGCAAGCUAGCGAGUUUUUUCUCCUAGUAAAAGGGGGCAAAGGCAAGGGGACGCUCUAGUUGCUACAACAUCCUAGUUUGCAAAUCGUUUGAAACAGAAAUCAAAACCGUUUGAAACCAAAUUGAACCGCAAUCAAAUGGUUUGGUUUUAUCUUGAUUGGUUUAAGCUUCAAAUUCACACCGAACCGAACUGGCAAAAAAUUCAGUUUCACUUUAAAACCGCACAGAACCAAACCGUGUCCAUCCCUGGUCUGCAUUGGAGGAAAACUGGGGAAAACCUCCCGGUAACCUCAACUCUGAUGGAGAAAAUGUAUUGGAGAUUGAAGAUUGUGAAUUUUUGUUUUUGUUGUUCUCCAUAAGAUUUCCAUUCAAAAUUUCUAUACGAUUUUUUGCCUUCUCUUGUAAUUUCACUAUGAUUACAUACCAUAAUUGAAUAGUACAAAUUAGUCCCGCCUGUUGCCUUGUGGGCUUCAAGUCCUUGGUGACCCUCCGACAGCCAAGGAAACGACAACCCACUUCUGAGAUCGGAAGCUAGCGUAUGGAGACGGCGUGUCGGAGAUUGUCUUGACGGUGGAUUCGAGCUGUGGCAUCUGAAUCUUCUUGAAACCGGUACCUGGCUGACUUGCAGAGCCACCAUCGCAAAGAAGAAGAAUCCGAAAAGCCCAAACCUUAUCUUUUUCUCCUAUAACGAUGUCGUUUUAGUGAAUUGCUUUUACGUUCUCAAACGUCCAUGUCAAAAUUCAAUUAAACCCAACAAUAUUCAUCACAAUUUACAUCAUUUCAUGGUAGAAACGUUGCAAUUAAAAUUGUGCAUAUUAUUGUAUAAAAAUAUCUCGAAAAAAAUUUAUUCUUUUGUUUUUGGUCAAAGAACUAAUUUCAUUAAAGAUAAAACAAAUUAAAGUAUCGUUUGCUAAAAACACACUAAAGUAAAAGUGCAGUCUUUUACAAAAGUAAAGUAAGGAAACAAGCCCCAAAAGUAAGGUAAAAUUUAUUCAUUUUGAUGUCGUUUAGUCAUGCAAAUUAAAUGAAUAUUUUUAAAAUAGUGGUGUUAUCAACACUUUUUUUUUUAGAAAAAUUAAUGAAAAAUGUUUGAAAACUUGAGUUUUUACGAAAAUGACAAAAUAAAGGGUAAAGUAAAUAGUACCAGAAUUGACUUUUUAGUGUAAAAAUAUAAUUUUUCGUUAAAGUGAAUAGUAUCAUGAGUUUUUGUUAAAGUUUUUUUUUUUUUACUUUAACACAUCUUUACUAAUUUCUAUCCUUUAAAAUAAUGUUUUUUUUUUGGGGGAAAACUUAAAAUAGUGUUUUUUAGCCAAAUUAGAACUGCAUAAGUAAACCUAAUACAUCAAAUUAACAAUGCAAUUGCUAUAACUUUACUUUUUGCAUAUCUCAAAACAUUCAACGCACACAUUAAAAUCCCACGUGACUCACUCAUAAGGCGAGGUUGAGAAGACUCGCUAGACACGUAGCUUGCCACUUCAAGAGUAAUUGCAAUGUUUGAGUCCCACUAAAAUAAAAUAAACAAUAAAACUCGAAAUUAAAAUUAAAUUUCUCCCUAUUCCAACCUUCUCUCUCCGAUAAAAUGCAAAUGCCUUUAACUUAUCAUUCUAAUUGCACAAUGUAAAAGAUAAUAUCGAAUGUAAAGAUUUACAUUUUUUUACAGUGCGAUAUUAUACACUAGUUUAAUUAUAUAGAGCAUCCAAUUCGACAUUACAUGUGAUAUUAAGUCUGAUUCUACAGAAGAAAAAUCUCACAGCGGGACAAAUUUUUAAAAGCCACAGAUACUUUAAAUAAACAAUGAAGUCUUUAUGUAUUGUGUGAUGUAUUAGUGGUGGUUUUUAUCAUUCAAGCAAUAAUGAUCCACUAGCCUCCAUGCGCGCUCAUGCACGUGCAUAAAGUAUCACGGUAUGCUAUAUGAGAUUUACACGUUUUAAAUGUAUUUAUAUGCGUAAAUUGAUAAAAAGAAAGUCAAAUAUUUGAGAUAAAUGAAUAAUUUUAAAUCAUGCUAGAAGAAACCCCUCAUAAACCAAUUAAAGCUGAAUCUACAUAAUAUUUAAUAAAUAACUUAUUGAAUCACAUUAUUGCUAGCUCAUUGUGAGGCUAAGCACACCCUCUCCCUUUCAUUUAGAUAAUCUUGUUUGUUUAAAAAAAUCAUUUUACAACUAAUUUGAUCACAUUAUUAUUCACGUGUGAAAGACUUUUUUUAUAACUGGCAUUACACGCCUCUUUAGAUGUUUUGAACGUGUUUAAAAAUAUAGAAAAGAAUAUUGAAUGAACAACUGAUUGAAUCACAUUAUUGCUAGCCUAUUGUGAGGUACUUAUUAAAAAAAACAGUACAAAAAAUUAAUUAUUAAAAAAACACUACUAAAAUGAUGAAAAUACCAUGCCACAUUUGAUGUCUUAUUUUGGGUUGCUUUUGAAGUUUUUUGUUUGAGGGGCAUUUUUGUCCAAUUAUUUUUUGUUGAAGCUUGUGACACCAAAAAAACAGUAUUCACUUUAUUGUUGGCUUUUUAUGUAGAUACUUUUAAGUUUUAUACGUAGUAUACUCACGUGAGCUGGUUAGAUUAGUCAUAAAUGGGUGAUUAGCCACUAACAGAUUUGGACCUACGUCGUCAUGCAAUGCUUAACACCUUUCUACCAUUAUGAGAAAGUGGCUAAUCACACCGAUGAGUCAUUAGCCACCGACGGGUUCAGACUCACGACGUCAUGUAAGAGCUUAAUACCUUUUUGUUAUUAUGGUAAAGGACCACUACCACGCGAGCUGGUUGGAUAUAUACAGAAGGGUCCUUUCAGCCUUGAGACCAUGAAUUUCCCCAUUAGGCUUGGCGCCAGACAAAGGAAAAAUGGAAAGUAAAGAAGAGAGAAAAAUAAGAAAAGGAAAAGAAGGUGAUGGUGGAAUUGCCGGACAAAGAAAAAAUGGAAAGUAAAGAAGAGAGAAUAAAAAAGAAAAGGAAAAGAAGGUGAUGGUGGAAUUGCAGAAAGAAAUAAAGGAAAAGGAAAGAGGGAGUCCAUGUGAAGAAAAGGCAGAAGAAGAAAGAAAACAAAGAGAAAAAAAAAAAGAUGAAUGAGGAUCAUAGCCGUUAUUAGGAUUCUGGAAAUCCUUCAAUCACAUCUAUUCAAUUUAUAUUGUAUGGUCAGAACUUAUUGUAAAUUUUUUAUUUAAAAUUAAUAUAAAUAAUGUCUGACAAAAGCUAAUUGCAUAAUGUAUGAUAAACAAAUGUGAUUAGAGAAUUUAUAGAAUCCUUACAAAUAUGAUCCGACGGGGACCUCCUCUAAAAAAAGAUGGUGAAAGUUGAGACAGGAAAGAAAAAGAAAGAGGUAAAAGAAAGGGAAAAAAACAAUGGUGGUGUCUGGCAUGCAAAUACAGAAGUAGAAAAGUGAUGAGAUUGUGUAGAAAAAGUGGAAGAAAGAAAAAAAAAAGGAGUGGAAUGAAAGUGGGGAGUGUGGCUCUUUACCACAAUGAUGAAAAAGUUAUGCGUCUUUGUAUUUCUACGUGAAUUCAAAUCUAGUUGGCUCCUCCAAGGUUGUGUGUCCUUGCAUUUCGGCGUGAGUUUGAAACAUCAACCAAAUUAUGAAAUGAAUGAAAACAAGUAUGUAUUCCAUUAGAACCAACCUCUGGGUGAUCUUCCUUGUCAAAAUUCCAACACGCCAUUAACAGUCAUUAACUUAGUCAGCAUAUGUAAUGAAGAGCUGAAAAAGUGGUUGGGAUUCUUUACUAAAUCAGGUUUUUGUGACAAACAUAAGAUUGAAGUUCCUAACAUGAAUGACAUGUUUCAAACUGUAGGGAUAAAAUAACUUCGGCGGGGACAUAUAUGCAUCAUUAUCAUGUUGAGAUGUUUUGUAAUGUUAUUGAUAUGCAACUCCAAGAGCUAAAUAUUCAUUUCACUGAGACGAAUAUUGAGUUGCUUUUUUGUGCGACAUGUAUGAAUCCAAGCUAUAUUUAUUCUCUACUUUUGACAAACAAAAGUUGAUUCGUGGCUUGCUCAGUAUACUUGAAUGACUUUUCGGCACUUGACUUGAUGAUACUGUUUUUUUUUUAAGGGACUUUUUGGCACUUGAUGAUACUUGAAAAUCAGCUUAAGAUGCACAUUAUGGACAUGAGCUCUAACAUUGAGUUUUCAGGAUUGAAUGGGAUUGCGGAUCUUGCACAAAAAAUGGUUGAGACAAAAUAAGAAACUGUUUACCCAUUAGUUUACUUGUUGUUGACAUUGUCACUCAUGUUACCAGUUGCAUCUCUCAGUGUAGAGGGCGUUUUGUGCUAUGAGGAUUGUAAACAAUUGGUUACUCAAUCAAAUGGAAGAUCAAAGGACAUAUGAUUGUUGGAUUGCCUAUAUUGAGAAAGACAUUCUCGAAGGUAUCAAACAUGAUGUAACUAAGCAACGAUUUCAUAAUAUAAAAACUCGUCCAUGGCAAAUAUCAUUGUAACUAAUGGAUAUUAUCAAUCAAUGCUGAUUUGUUGUCCUAGAAUGGGCUUCAGUUUUAUUUUUCCUUAUAUAGUUAAAAUAUUGUUAGUAUAGAUAUGUGUCUUUGCAGGUUCGAGGAUGACCCCUUUAAUUUUAACAGGUUCGAGGAUGAUCGCUUGCUCAAGAAACAAUGACUGCAGAACAUUGGAGUUACAGGUGAGUGUUGAGAAGUAAUGUACUUGAAUGGAUGACCAUAGGCUGCAUUUUGCAGUUAGUAUUUGGCAUGAUAUGUCGUUUUGUAUCGGAAAAUUAUAGAGCUAUACAGUUGAACUGAAUUUCAAUUGAAUUUGUGCGUUUUACGUUGAUUAGUUUGCUCACGAUCUUCAUUCAACACUUGUAGAGAUGGCAAAGGAUCAUUCUGAAAUCUUUUGUCUCUUUAUUUCAGUUGCUAAUUUGGCAAAAUGAUGCACCAAGCCAAGGUUUGAACGAACUGAAUCCUUUGGUUAUCUAAUUUAUAUGCUGAAAUGAUGUACCAAACCAAACUGUAUAUUCUAAUUGGUGAGGUAACAUAAUAUGUCCUCCUUGUCAAUGAUAGCAUUCAACAUUCAAAUUCUCUAACAAGUUUGUGACAACCCAUUCUGACUUUAUCAAAUUUUAAUUUCGAAAGGUGAGAAUUGACUAAAAUGCCCCUGUUGGGUUCAGCUUAUACACGGACUUUUGAGCCAGUGCUUAAUUUGUCUCAUUUCUUAGUAUAUCGGGAUAGUAAUCGACGUUAUAAAUGCAUGAGUGCAAACUAGAUCCAAAUUGGAUUUGUAACAAAGAAACUACACUCGUUUAAUAAACGGGUAAAUAUGUACACAAAAUUGUAUGAAAUUCAUAUUUCUAGGUAAUCAAAACCUAAUAAUUUCACAAACCAAGUUUGGAAUAAAAAAAAAAAUUCUAAGGAAAAGAGAUUAAAAAUGGAAACUUUGAAUAUUAUUAAAAAAAAUGACAACUAACGAAAAGUUCAAAAAAAAUUCUCACUUAAUGAAAAACUCUUUUUAAAGGUAUAGUGAAUAGUGUCAAUUAAAUGUAAAAAUGUAAUUUUUCGUAAAAAAUAAACAGUACCUGAGUGUUUUGUUAAAACUCCCUUAAAAAAAACCCAACAAUUUUGUUCAAGAAAAAUAGAAAGAUAGGAAAAAAUCUUUACCUUCCAGAACAUUGAAGUGUGUUUGGAUCAAAUGAGAGAAUCAAAUUGUUAAAUUCAAAUAUCUAAGCGGAUCUGUGUGAAUUUUGUAAGUUAUUUACAAGUUGAGGUCGGUGCCGUUUCUUAUUGUUGGCGAAGUGAAUUUUGUAAGGGGAGGAGUCGCAGAAGGUGGGAUAGAGACGACGGAGGGGGACCUGGGUUCUCUGUGGAGGGAGGUAUGGAGCCGUUGCUGAUCUCGGUCUUCUUGGAUUCGGGUUCGUUGGGGAGUUUGGGUGUGGUGGGUGGGUGAAAAUGGAGGGUUUGAUUUCUGUGAAGACGUUGGUUCUGGAUGUGGUGGGUGGGUGAAAAUGGCGGUUUGGGGAGUUUGGGAGUGGGUUGUCGGGAGGAGAAGUGGGUGUGGGAUAUAGUUGGCCGGAGAAGAUAGAGGCGACAAGGUGGGUACUUUGAAGAAGAUGGAGGUGGGUGGGACGCGGAGGAGAGAAGAGGGGGAGAUCGAACUCUUCUUAUCGGAGGAAGACGAUUGGGCCCAGAUUUCUAAAUUUUUUAUUAUUUUUAUUAUUAUUCUAAUUUUUUUAAAUAUCCAUGUGGACAUAUUGACUCGUAGCCUUAUGUCAUUGUUCAUGCAGGUGUCAUGUCAUAAAUUAACGGUUAAUUUAACAGUAAUCCUAACGGAUAUAUGAAAAUAUUCUACAAUUAUGACUUCAUGUAUCACUUUGGGAUAAAAAAAAUUUGAUGUACUAAAUGUUGAAAACUAAGAAACGUAAAUUGAGAUUAACCCUUAAAUUAAUGUAAAAUAUCGUUUUAUGAGUGAGUCACGAGAGCAAAUCCCUCGUGAGAAUGUGUGCGUUGAAUGUAUUGAGAUAUGCAAAAAGUAAAAUUAUAGCAGUUGCAUUGUUAAUUUGAUGCAUUGAGUUUACUUAUGCAGUUUUAGUUUGGCUAAAAAAUAUUAUUUUGAAGGAUAAAAAUUAGCAAAAAUGUGUUAAAAGUAAAUAAAAAAAAUUGUUGAUAUCACCACUAUUUUAAAAUCAUUCAUUCAAUUUGCAUGACUAAACGAUCUCAAAAUAAAUAAAUUUUACUUUACUUAGACUUGUUUCCUUACUUUACUUUUGGAAAAGACCGCACUUUCACUUUAGUGUGCUUUUGGCAAACGAUACUUUAACGUGUUUUGUCUUUAAUGAGACUAGUUGUUUGAUCGAAAACAAAAGAAUAAAUUUUAGAGAUAUUUUUACACAAUAAUAAAAAAAAUGCGCAACUCUAAUUGCGAUGCUUCUACCGUGAAAUGAAGUUGUAAUGCCGUGUGAGAGUGAGGAUGGCUCGAGCCAUGUAUUGUCAUUUGAAAAUUUGGAGUUCGUAAGCAAUGCAUCUAUUACUUUUUCACUUUAUCUGUGACAUCCCACAUCGCUUAAAUAUAUAUUUUCAUCUCUACCUAGUACGAGGCAUUUUGGGAACUCACUCGGAAUCCGAAGUUAAGCGAGUAGCACACGAGAGCAUUCCCAUGAUGGGUGACCCAUUGGGAAGUUGCUCGUGAGGUCCCAAAAACAAAACCGUGAGGGAAUGGUAAGCCCAAAGCGGACAAUAUCGUGCUACGGUGGUGGAGCGGGGCCAGGAAGUGAUCCGUCCCGAGCCGGAAUGUGACAAAUGGUAUCAGAGCCAAUCCCUACCCAGAAGUGUGCCGACGAGGACGUCGGGCCCCUAAGGGGGUGGAUUGUGACAUCCCAUCGCUCAGGAGAGUGAUCCUUAAAUGUAUAUUCUCAUACCUAAUAGCAUGAGGCAUUUUGGAAGCUUACUGGUUUUAGGUUCUAUCGGAACUUCGAAGUUAAGCGAGUAGCGCGCGAGAGCAAUCACAUGAUGGGUGACCCACUGAGAAAUUGCUCGUGAGUUUCCAAAAACAAAACCGUGAGGGAAUGGUAAGCCCAAAAUUGACAAUAUCGUGCUACGAUGGUAGAGCGGACUUGAGAAGUGAUUCACCCUGGACCGGGAUGUGACAUUAUCUAUUUCUUAUUAAAGAGAAUACAAAAUGACAAAACUGAUCUUGUUGGGUUUAAUGAAAUUUUACAUAGAAGUUUGAGCCAGUACUUAAUUCGUCUCAUUUUUUUAUUGUAUUUAGAUAUUAUUUGUCAUUGUAUGAACGCAUAAACACAAACUAGAUCCAAAUCAAACUUGUAACGAUUUAAAGUAUUGGCUUUUAAAAAUUUGUCCCGUAGUGAGAUUUUUCUUCCGUUAGAUCAGGCUUUUGCUUUACGGAAAGUCACCCCACCUAUCAAUUGCACUAUGCUUUUUCUCUCUUUCUCUCAGUGUUCUCCUCCCACUCUGUAACAUCUCUCUCACUCACUCAACCCUCUCUUUCUCCCUCUCAAACUCUCCCGUCCUCUCUUCUCUCUGUAACGCAGCGAAAGUCACCAAACCUCGACGAAUCAACGCUCAAACCACCACCACGUCCACCCUCUUGACCUCGCGAGCUCGAACCCGAACUCCGUUUCGUAGGAAACAGAGCCUAGAGGCUCUAGCUCGAAGCUCCGACGAGAAAGAAACUUCCCGACGAAGUUCCCGACACUUUUCCGACCACUCCAUACCGUUUUCGAAGAGUUGGAAGCCACCACACAACUCCCUAACAUCCAUGGGUCAAGUUUGAGGUAAUCCCCAACUCAAAAACCCACGGUUUCGAAGCUUUGGGUUUUUGGGCGAGACUUUCAGGCCAAUUUCAGUACAUUUACGUCUGCUUUUUGGAGUUCCAAGAGGUAUAAACUUGUUCCUUGUGCUUCAUUUCCAUAUAAAGAACGUAAAAAAUGGUUGAGAAAUGAGCAAGUUAUGGCCCUUUGAAAUUGUCCACAGUUUCCGUCGAUUUCAGGGACCUUCCGGCCUGUUUCUGGCUAAAUGACGGCGAGUUAGCCGUUGCUAUGGGUACCAAUCUGUUCGUCUCAUUCCGAGGCAUCAUUUCCAUUCUGAAUCACUCAAUUUGGUUGAGAUAUGUGGAAGUUAUGAUGAUUUAAAAAUGUCCCAGAAAACCGACGUGAAACUGCAUAAUCCGGUGACCCGCGACCGGAACCUGGUAAAAAGUAAAUGCAAAAAACGCAGUUCUAAAACAACUAAACACAUAAUUGCAUAUCAUUCCUAAAACACAGAGAAAUUUGUGAGAGUGGCCUAAAUAGAAAGAAAUGGAUAUGAAAUGAAGUUCCUUUUGAAACAUUGGUCCUGUGGGGUUUAAAAAGAACACGGGUGUUCUUUCGUCGAGUGCUACCACUCUCAUCAUUAACAUUGUCACUCUAGACAUUAUCACAAUUCUCAACGCAAAGUAAAGCCUUGUAGAAUUCCUUGGAUGUCGUACAUGGUGUAGAUGCUGCCAAGAAACAAAACUGCUUGCGGAUAUGUUAUUUGAACUGGUGGAGCCUUCUUGAAUAGUUGGUAUCGAUUGUUGGACAAUAGCAGGACAAUUCGUUGAACUUCCGAUGGUACUUAGCUACUGAUAUUUUGCCUUGUGUAGGUCCAUGAACUCGUCUUUUUUUUCUUUCCCGGGUCUUAUACUCCGCAUGUGUAAGAUUAUCUUACAUUGCCGGCCCCAAGCCCGGAUAAAGAAGGAGGGGGAGGGCGUUAGGUAGUUGAUAGCCGGUACUCCUAUUUUACGUCGAACCUUAUGAUAAUGAAUCCUGAAUGAAAUUGCUCUAAAGCUAGGUCGUCACUCGUAAGUGGUGCGUUGUGUCCCGAGCACAGUGAUAAGUGAGCAAGGGUCGCUGUAUCUCCACUGGUGCCCGGAUGCAGUGUUAAAUGAGCAAUAGAGCCAUAAUAACUCCUUUUUGAACGACUCCACUCAAAGUUGUUUGGAAGCAUCUGCUUCUAUCAACUUUGACCUUAUUAGACGGGGGAUGGUGAAGAAGCUAGGACAAGAGGGUAGAGUUCAAGCGAGUAGAAUGCGUUUAGGAACGUGGAACAUAGGAACCUUAACGGGAAAAUCUAUGGAAAUAGUGAAAGUUAUGGUGAGGAGAAGGAUAAGUAUUAUGUGCCUACAAGAAACUAUGUGGGUUGGUCUUAAGGCAAAGGAUCUUGAAAACUCAGGUUUUAAACUUUGGUCUUCGGGCAAAUAGAACAAGAAAUGAUGUUAGCAUUAUCGUGGGGUAGGAAAUAGAAUUAUGGCAAUCAAGAUUGUAAUAGGACAAGAACUCAUCAAUGUGAUUAGUGUGUACACACCUCAAGUAAGGUUGGAACGAGUUUGAAGGAGAAAUUUUGGGAAGAUCUUAGAAACUUGGUGCAAUGAAUCACUUAGACGGAGAAUGUAUUUAUAGGAGGAGAUUUAAAUGGACACGUGGGUAAGAGGAUAGGCCAUGGUUUUGGGAAGAGAAAUGAGGAUGAGGAAGUCAUCUUGGAUUUUGCAGUGGCAUACAAUCUCUUCUUAGCCAACACUUUCUUUAAGAAGAGAGAAGAACAUGUGGUAACCUACAAGAAUGAGUUAUCAAAAACACAAAUAGAUUUUCUUCUAACGAGGAAGGGGGAUCAUAUAACUUGUAGAAUUGCAAAGUUAUACCGGGAGAGUGUUUGGCUAAUCAACAUCGCUUGUUGGUGAUGGAUGUACAUAUCAAAAGAGAGAGUAAAAAGAACAAGACCUUGAAGUGUCCAAGGACUAGAAGGUGGAAUCUAAAAAGAGAAAGACAAGUCAUUUUCAAAGAGGAAAUAAUCACCCAAUGCGUGUGGAUAGAGAGGGGGAAUAUGGGCCCACAUAGAUAUUAAAAAUUACAUGUCCUUAGUUCACCCAAAUUGCAUAUCCCACAAACCAGAAGAUCCAAAACUUCAAACAUCAAGAAGCCGAAUUUCAUAUGUUAAUAUAGAAUAAAAUAAAGGAAAUUCUUACCUUCGAAUUAUCAGAGACAGAGGACUGCCACUACUGUUAUUGUGAGACAAAGGAGUGAAAUCAAUCAAUGAUUCAGUGGAACUUCUUCAGGGCAAAUUUUGUAAUUUUUAUUUUUUGGGAAAACAAAUAGUACAAGGAGUGAAAGGAAAAAGAACCUCAAAGGAGGAAGCAUCAAUGAAGCACAUAUGGAUUAAAAAAUUGGUUUUUCCUCCAAAACCCAGAUGGAAAUUCAAUAUUCAGAAGAGAAAAUCACCAAAAGGGAGAAAAAAUGAGGGUUUUUCUUAAUCCCCAAAUGGAGAAAAAGUUUUUUCUAAUAUUUUCUUAGUACCAAGAAUUUCGAGCCCGACCGGCGAGCGAGCAGUGUAAGCCCCCCCGAACCGUACUGCAUUGAAUUGGAGUGGCUGUGACUCGGCGUCAUGGAUCGGACCCACGUCCACCUCCCGAGUUGUAAAACGAGGAGGCCGAGAGCCAGCAGGAGCGCGGAAUGAUCCGACCGUUGAUCAACGAAGAAGAAGAAGAGGUUGAGGAAUAGGUCCACUAGUCGGGCUCGGCGGGGACGGAGUUGAGGAGGAGGGAGCACUGGGAGGCAGGGGUGGAAGGCAGGCCAGGUGAGGAGGAUGAGGGGCUUGGAUUUGGAGGGUUUGAAUUUGGGCGAUGGUGGUGAGGAAGGCGACUAUGAGGAAGACAAUAGGGUUUGGGAUUUUUCUUUUUUAUAAAUUUUUAUUAGCAUUUUUAUAUUUCUAUAUUUUAUUAAUAUUCAUGUCGGCCUAUAUUAACAUGUGGCGUCUAGUUAUUGUUCACAUAAGCGGCAUGUCAUCAGUUAAAAUAGAUUCUAAUGGAAAUCUAAACAGAUAUAUGAAAGUGUAACUUUAAGUACCAGAUUGGAACGAAAAAAACUUAAUGUAUGAAAUGUUGAAAACCAAGAAACUUCUAGAUAGUAAAUUGAGUUUAACCCUUUAAGCACACAAUUUUUUUUUUUUCAUAAAAUAAAAAUACAACCUAGAUUUAAACAGGACAAAAAUAUAUGAUUAUUAAUGUUGUGUUGGGGUGCUUCUUUGGUUUAGGCAUCAGAGCACUGAGCGCGGGACUUACAAAAGCCACCAACAAAGAGAAGCAUUCCAGCCGUAGUCCUUGAUUUCAGAAGGAAAUGGAAAUUAUAAUUGCAAUUGCCUCAAAAGUUGGAGAGUGCUUGGUCACACCAAUAGGAACAGAGUUUGGCUAUUUGAUUAAUUACCAUUCCAACCUGGAAAAUCUUAAGGGUGAGAUAAAAAAGCUUUUUGACAAGAAAGAUGGAGUGCAAGGAUUGGUAGAUGCUGCCCAAAGGAACAGUGAAAGUAUCAAACCUGAUGUUCAGAGUUGGCUAAAGAAUGUGAACAACAUGAUCCAGAAAGUGUUACAUUUUGAGGAUGAAAUUAACAAGAAAAGGCGAUGUAUGAAUCGAUGGAGCUUGAGUCGGAAAGCCUAUAAGAUUACACAACAUGUUCUUCAGCUCCAAAACGAAGGAACAUUUGAAAAUGUGGCCCAUCCUGCACCUCCACGAGGGAUAUGGUCAAAAUUCAAGAAAGGUUUCAAGGACUUUAAGUCCAGAACGGCAUACAUGAAUGAGGUGAUAGAGGGUUUGAAGAGGGAACAAGUACGAAUGAUCGGGAUUUGUGGAAUGGGGGGUGUGGGUAAAACGACAAUGGCGAAAGAAAUCAUCACAAGAUUGGCAAAACUGAACCUGUUUGAUAAUAUUGUAAUGGCAACUGUGUCUCAAAGUCCAAGUAUUAGCAAGAUCCAGUCGGAAAUUGCAGACCAAAUAGGUUUGGAAUUGAAGGAGGAAUCCGAGUCCGGAAGAGCAAUAAAGCUGCAUGGGAAACUCAUGGAAAUAAAGAUCCUGAUUGUAUUAGAUGAUGUCUGGACAUAGCUUGAUUUUGAGGCUAUAGGACUCCCUUCUGGAGAUGCUCACAAGGGGUGCAAAGUUUUGUUGACAUCACGAGAUUGGGAAGUCUGCAACAGGAUGGGAAGUCAACCAAUUAUUGAAGUCCCGACUUUAACAACAGAAGAAUCACAUGACCUCUUUAAAGAAAUGGUAGGUGAAUCCUUCGAUGAGCCUGAUUUACGUUCCAUUGCAAAAGAGGUCGUUUAUGAAUGUGGAGGUUUACCUAUAGUCAGAAUCACAGAGGAAAAUGAAGAAGAGGCGACAAAAUACAUGAUUUUGUUUCUAAAACUGAACACAUUUGAACUAGAAAACCUGCCUCGUCUCACAAGUCUUUGUCCAGAGGGAUUUACAUUUCUAUGGUCAUCCACAAAAAAUAUGUACGUACGAAAAUGUGGAUCAUUGAAGACAUUGGGUGCUGUAAUUCCACAAAGAAAGAAGUUGGAGAAUAACUUGAAGAAGGAUUCAACAAGUCAUGAUUUCAGCACUUCUCCAACACGUUCAUCAAAUUGGUGCCCUGCUGGAUGUGGAUGCGCACCAUAUUCAAGACCAAACGCCCACCGCCCCAUUGAAAUAUUGCCAUGUCCAAUUAACCUGGAGGUAAGCUUUUAAAUCAGGUUCAAUUAACCUCUAUAAGUACAACUUUUAAUUAGUAUUGUAUCAUCUUGUUGAUCGUGUUUAAUUUCCUAGGUUACACCAACUAAUCUUGAGGACUCAAAUGAUGAUGAUAAUCUCGCAAAUCUUCGUGUCCAUGACUGUGCAUCAUUGGAAGUGAUUUUCCAACUAAAGGGGCCGAAGCAUGAAGAAAGUAGUCACUCCGUUGAAGCAUUCAAUAAAUUGAGGUCCUUGCGGUUAGAUAUUUUGCCAAGUUUAACGCGUGUUUGGGAGACGGGUAGUUCACAACCGAUGUUGACAGGAAGCAGCUUCGGAAACUUGAAAUCGCUGCGGGUCUUUGAUUGCGACCAGUUGAAAUACUUGUUUUCAUCGUCCAUUGUCAAACUUCUCGUGAGUAUGGAGGACAUAAAAGUUCAGAAGUGUGAGCAGAUGGAAGAAAUCGUUGCCGCAGAAGAAGAAACUGAUGAAACAAUUACAUUACCUAAAGUGAAGUCCAUCAAGCUUGAAAGUCUGCCAAAACUCAAGUAUUUUUGUGGUGAAGCUUAUACUUUGAAGUUGCCGUCUUUGGAGUUAUUGGAGGUUGAUGACGUGCAAAACUUAAGCCUAUUAGCUCCAAAGCUUAUUGCCACACAUCCCUGAUUGCAAGUAAACACCGCGUUGGGACUGGCUGAAUGGAAGGGGGACCUAAACGCCACUCUUACGGAAUAUUUACAUCACAAGGUAUGCUUUAAUAUAAGGUUUCUAAUUUUCAAUCGCUUAUGCGUGCAUGUUUAAAGAUGUUUUUUUUUUUCAACAUCUCUCUUUUAAAUCUUGAUGUAUACGUGGAAUUUCUGAAGUUUUUACAAAAGACUAUAUAAUAGCAUUAUAUUAAUGUAUAUGUGUGUGUGUAUGCGAGUAUGUGCACACUAAAGUGUAUUUAAAUAUAUAUAUAUAUAUAUAUAUAUAUAUAUAUAUAUAUAUAUAUAUAUAUAAUUUUAGAAAACUCAAUUAUAUCUCAAGAAAACAUCGUCUUUUAUUUCUAAUACAGUACGGAUGAAGAUAACGAAAUCGAUGGCAAGGAUGACGAUGACAAAAUCGACGGCAAGGAUGAAGAUGACGAAACCAACAGGGAGGACGAACACAGUUGAUUGAUCAAGCACAAAGGUUAGCAUGUUUCCAUCUCCAACUUCUUCUAGGUUUAGUAAAAACUUAUGAAAAUUAUAUAUAUAGUACUCAAAAAAGUAUUCUACCAUGUUUUAUAAUAUAUACAUACAUGUAUAGCACUUGAAAAAUUGAACAGUUUGGAUCUAAAACCACAAUCUGCUACCUGAUUCAUUUUUUCGAGGUACCUAAUAGCAGUUAAGGUGUGAGGAAGAAGCUUUUUAGAUUACCAACUGCCUCAAGAGAAACCUUUAUCAGAAACACAUAUACAAUAAACAUAACCGUAGUGCUAAGUGGCCUAAAAAUUAAUUUAUCCUUAAACCGCUAUUUUUGGAAACACAUAUACAAUAAGCAUAACCGUUUGAUUUCUAAUAUUCUCCAAUGCAUGCAGGAAAAGAGUUUAAAGAACGUUGUGGCUCCAGCAAUUCGUUUACCAUAUCAUAUGCACAAACCAAUAAAAGGACAUUUGUUGCACCAGAAUUUCAUUCCAAAAAUACUAUUUAUGUUGCUUAUUUUAUGUACCAUAAAUUUCGAUUGCGAUUAUUACUGUUUGUUUCUAAAUUCGCAUCAUUAGUAUUUGCUUAUUUGUGCUCGAGGUUGAUUAUACACGUGUAAGCUGAAUCACAUGUUUGUAGAAUGGACAAGCUGAAUAAAAUCUGUUUGCCCCCUAAAUGUAAUGGAAAUCAUAUGUAUCUAGGCAUGCUUAAUAUUUGAUAAAGAAAAACAUUUCUCAAAUAAAUGUCCACUCACACCUCCGGCAAGCUCGCCCUUGAGGAGCCUUGUCUACCAAAUAGGUAAACAUCUACUGGACAGCAGGCGAUUCAAAACCAUAGCAAACUGCUGAAUACAACUAGAGUAAACAAGGAAUCAGGCUAUGCAAUUGCCAUCAUCAUAACAUGAUUUUGGCCCCCAUCUUCUAAUUUCCUACCACAUUUUCACAUUCUUUCCAUGAAUUUUAUGAUUCCUAUGCAACAGAGUUCAUUCAUCGCCUAUUCACAACAAUACAAGGUUCUACAGAGUUCAAUCCCACACCAUGUUAUAGACAUGCUUCAACUAUCAACCGGGAACGUAAUCGUUAGGGGUUUCAACAAUUUCACAGAUACAACAAUUACUAUAAGUCUCAUCUCCAACAUUCAUACAGAAAAUCGAAUAAAAUUCGAAAUCAAGAAUCAAACCCAAAACUGAAAGUUGAAAAUUUGGAAAAAGAACUUACAUUGGAGAACAGCCCACGAGAAGAGUAUCAUUUCUACCUCUUGGGUCGAGGUCCAAUUCCCGCGAUAUUGGCCGGAAACCCCUGGGUCACCGUUUCUUAGAUUUGAAGUUGAGGAAAAUCGCCUACGAAAUUAUAGAAACUAACUUGGGGGAUUGGAUAAGGGACGGCAAGAGCAUUCUGGAUGUGUAGUUUGAGAGCUUUUGGUGACCAGUGGACGACAGAGCUGUUGCGUCGGCACUCGGCAGUCUUCGGCUUGCUGUUAAAUGGGGCUCCAGGAGUCGCAGCGCAAAAGAGAAGGAGGAGAGAGGAUACGGGAGGAGGAGAGAAAAUGGGUUUCUCCCACCUUUUACAUUAAUUCUUUUCC
rnacentral:lncRNA from 1 species